GGUUGCGAUCAUACCAGCACUACACACCG
rnacentral:rRNA from 1 species